UGAGGUAACGGGAUCAAAGG
rnacentral:miRNA from 1 species